ensembl:lncRNA
AGAACUGGCAAUUUGAUUCUUGCUUGAUUUAAAAUAGGCAUCUGGAACAGCAUUAGAACUUAAGGUACCUGAGAUCCAGAGAUUUCGUGAUGACUCAAGAGCCUGCAAGCAUAAACUGAACAAAGAGCCCUUUGGAGAAAAUUGAGAAAAGUCUAUCAUUUGCUUGCAUUUCUGAUGUGGUAAAGGGGCAGGGUGAUUUGACUUGAUUUGUUCAGAAAUGAUCUCAGAGGCACAAGGACAUCUGACAUAGUGUCUUGUUCUUG